UAUUAUUCCCACACGGAACGGCAGAAGGGGACGCUCUUCUUGCUAAAGGAGAUGAUGGGAACUCUGGUGAUAUCGUUAUCUCCACCAAUUUUUCUUUAUUUGGCGUCGCUUACAAAAACAUAUAUGUAAAUAUCAACGGCGCUGUUUCUUUCUCGACGCCCAUCAACUCAUACUCACCCGAGCCCUUCCCCCUCGAUGACAAUCGUGCGAUCAUCGCUCCAUUCUGGACUGAUAUCGAUACUUCGUAUGGAAUAGGUCAUGGUGACGUCAUGUAUAGACAGCUACUUCUAACCAAUCAUACGACAGCACUUUUCGAUCGAGUCAAUGGGAUUGUUCGUAAUGUUUCACCGGAUCGGGACACAUUCAAAGCAACCUGGAUGUUCAUAGCAACUUGGAGUGAUGUGGCUUAUUAUGACGCACUCGAUCCGUCGGAGCUUUUGAAUACAUUCCAGUGUGUUCUCUUGACGGAUGGGGAUUACUGCGGAGUAAUAAUGAUCUACAACGAUAUCACAUGGACUGGCCAAGAAAGCACUCC